AGGCAGGAAGAAUGCUUAGCAGGGCGUGGUGGCGAACGCCUUUAAUCCCAGCAUUUGGGAGGCAGAGGCAGGCCGGAUUUCUGAGUUCGAGGUCAGCCUGGUCUACAGAGUGAUUCCAGGCCAGGCCAUACAAAGAAACUUUGCCUUGAAAAACAAAAACAACCCCCACAAACAACAACAAAGUACAAAUAUGGCAACCCAUGCCAGUAAUCCCAGUACUCAGGAGGCUGAGGCAGGAGGACUGCCCUGAGUUCUAGAACAGCCUGAGCUACAGAAAUCGUUUCAACAAAUAAAUAAAUAAAUAAAAAAGAAAGAAAGAACUCAAAAUAUUACCAAUCUAAACUAGUAACAUUUUUCUUUCAAUUGACUCGAUGAAAGCCAGUGCUAUUCCCACUAAAAGGAACCCUUCUAACAGACUCAGUAUGUUAGGAAGAAACAGGCCUGGGGUAGUAGCUGCUUCAAAGGAAACAUUACCAGGUGACACUUGGAAAACAUUCAAAAGCUUUUCUCUAGAAUUACUGUAGUGUAAUUACUCUAAUUUGAAAAUUAUUGAUGGUACCAAAUUGUCUCUGUCGGUAAGGGCAAAGAGAAAUACACAGUGCUAUAAGGCAAGUCAGACUCCGCAAGGUUACCU
ensembl:antisense Gm37362 predicted gene, 37362